AGCGAGGUACGAGUUACAGUGGCGUAUUUACGGGAGAUCCCUUGGCCAUUUUUUCAGUAUCAAUACAUGCCUAUUUUUUAAAUCAUAUUUCUUCACAUUUUAGUAAGAAAAAUCUUGGCGAAAUUCUAAAUACGCCGCUGGAAUGUUACAUUGAAUAUUAUGAUAUAAAAAUCGUUUGUGUAUCUAGCUCGAAAAAAGCAAGUAUCCCCGAAAAAAAAGACCAAUGGACAAACACAAACCGAAAUACUCUUACUUUAAAGUUUGAUAAUAAUCGACUAUCCAGUUCAAGACUGCAAUACUAAAACAAAAAACAAAAAUGAGUUAGAGUGAAUCAGUGUAGUAGAGAAAAACCACACCAUUUUGUUUCUUUUUCAAAACAAUUUCAAUUUGAGAACGCAAUAAAAACCAGUUAGGUUAUUGAGCGCUAGAAGGGCCUCACUUCGCUUUAUUUAUUAGAACAAUACAUUUUCGUUUAACCAUAUUCUAUUCCUUCUAGUUCUACGCCAAAUAUGAUAUUAGUAACAACGGACGCAUAAAGUAACGGUCAUAUAUGCGUAUACCGAAAAUUAAUGUAUUCGCUUCGUGUAGCCGACGGAAAUGUUCGUAAAAUUUUAAAAAUGCCGCUUUCCUGAAAUAAAAAAGUCCUUUUUGGA